AACGAACGCUGGCGGCAUGCCUAACACAUGCAAGUCGAACGAUGCCUUCGGGCAUAGUGGCGCACGGGUGAGUAGCGCGUGGGAACCUGCCCUGUGGUACGGAAUAACUCCGGGAAACUGGAGCUAAUACCGUAUGUGUCCCCUGGGACAAAGAUUUAUCGCCACGGGAUGGGCCCGCGUAGGAUUAGCUUGUUGGUGGGGUAACGGCCUACCAAGGCUACGAUCCUUAGCUGGUCUGAGAGGAUGAUCAGCCACACUGGGACUGAGACACGGCCCAGACUCCUACGGGAGGCAGCAGUGGGGAAUAUUGGACAAUGGGCGCAAGCCUGAUCCAGCAAUGCCGCGUGAGUGAUGAAGGCCUUCGGGUUGUAAAGCUCUUUCGCACGCGACGAUGAUGACGGUAGCGUGAGAAGAAGCCCCGGCUAACUUCGUG
rnacentral:rRNA from 1 species